GAUAAUAUCUAACAUUUUGUUAUAUGCCUAAUUUAGGUCACAAAGCAUUGAUAAUUCCGAAAGUGACUAUGAGGAGGCUUCACAAAUUCUUGAUCAUUUUGGCUCCCAAAGCUUCACAGCUAUGUUACAGGAAACUUCAAUGUCGUGCAGGCAUGUGAAUGAUCAGCACCUUGGACUCGACUUUACUCUAAUAUCAUCAUAUAUAUCUCCAACGGAAAAUAAUGCUAACUCCAACAAGGCUUCUAUUCCUCCAGUAGAAACUCCAGCAACUAAUACUAAUUCAAGGGGAAAUCGGAAUGAAUUUGGAAGAACAG